rnacentral:rRNA from 1 species
UAGUCAUAUGCUUGUCUCAAAGAUUAAGCCAUGCAUGUCUAAGCACAAGCCGAUUAAUGGUGAAGCCGCGAAUGGCUCAUUACAACAGCCACUGUUUACUUGAUCUUGACUAUCCUACUUGGAUAACUGUGGUAAUUCUAGAGCUAAUACACGCAAAAAAGCUCCGACCUUACGGGACGAGCGCAUUUAUUAGACCAAAACCAAUCGGGCUUCGGCCUGAAACGUUGGUGACUCUGAAUAACUGAGCUGAUCGCAUGGUCCCGUACCGGCGACGUAUCAUUCAAGUGUCUGCCUUAUCAACUUUCGAUGGUAGUUUAUGUACCUACCAUGGUUGUUACGGGUAACGGAGAAUAAGGGUUCGACUCCGGAGAGGGAGCCUGAGAAACGGCUACCACAUCCAAGGAAGGCAGCAGGCGCGCAAAUUACCCACUCUCGGCACGAGGAGGUAGUGACGAAAAAUAACGAGGCGGUUCUCUAUGAGGCCCGCUAUCGGAAUGAGUACAAUUUAAACCCUUUAACGAGGACCUAUGAGAGGGCAAGUCUGGUUCCAGCAGCC